rnacentral:lncRNA from 1 species
AAGACGGGGAGCUCAGCUUGGUGCUGUGACGACCUAGAGGGAUGGGAUGGGGGCGUGGGGGGAGGCUCGAGAGUGAGGGGUGUCUGUAUACACACAGCUUGUAUACUUGGUUGUAUAGCAGAGACGAACGCAGUGUUGUAAAGAAGUUACCAUCCGAUCUGAAACGGAGAGAGCUUAUUGUCUGUUAAGAUAAACUGGCUUCCCAUUAAGUGCCGAAAGUCAGGAUCAGUUUGCAGAUGUGCAGGCUACCAGGGGGCUUCUCCGAGAAAGCAGUUCUGCAGCCAGGGUGCUUUGGCCAUCGGCCACCAUCCCCUGUUGCCAGCGGACCGUGUGUGCUGUGCUGAGUCGCUUCAGUCGUGUCUGACUCUUCGCAAUGCUAUGGGCUGGAGCCUGCCCGUCUCCUCUGCUCGUGGGAUUCCCAGGCAAGAACACUGGAGAGGGUCCCCAUGCCCUCCUCCAGAGGAUCUUCCCGACCCAGAGAUCAAACUCGUGUUUCUGUCUCCUGCAGUAGCCAGCGGGCUCUUUACCACGAGCACUGCCUGGGAAACCCCCGUGGACCCAUACUGCAAGGUAGCCUCCCUCAGAUACCCUGAUCCUGUGCACAGUUGACUGUAGUAAGUACCACGGCCCACUCUGCUCGUGUGCUGUUCGCUACUGCCCCCUAAUGGACGCAUCAAUAUUAACAGGACAGUGAAAAAUCGCAGAAGAUGCUAAUUUGCUAAAACUCGCUUAGUUCCAGUAUUUCUUUGGAAGUGGGGUGAGGGUGGAAACAGCAAAUGAAAGAAAAAAUUUGAUCAGUUGUGCAACCCUGACAAAUACAAAUUUUUUUUCUGUGAUUUUUUUUUCUAGCCUACAUUUGUGGGUGAUUUUUUUUUUAACAGACAACUUAGUUUUCAUAAUGUAGUAUGAUGUAUAUUUAUUUCAUGUACUGUUACCCUGUAAGUAUUUUCUUGUGUUGCUGAAUCACCCCAUGAUUUUUUAAAUGAUGUACAGGUUUUGUAUAUAAUCUUUGGAAAACCAGACGUAGCCUCCUGUAUAUUGUGCUUCCGUGUGGAGGGUUGAGUCUCAGUUACUAAUUAGUUCCUGGUCCAUUGACGUCCUCCCUGGUCUAUAGUAAAAUGAGAAAAAUGGGGUUGCUGUAGGAAAUUUUUAAUGGAACUUAAUAUAUUCAGUUGAAAGCACCAUUUACUCUGGGGUUAUGUCCUCACCAAUUUUUUGAUCAUUCUUCACUUCUAUAAGAAAUAAAAUGAACAAUAUUUAGUAAUUUUUUAAUGUACCUCUUUGAAAAAUAAAAAUCGGUGGCUUUUGUCUGUCAUCAAAAUUCGAGGACUACUUUUUUUUCCCCCAGUUGGUAAAAUCUCAGCCUGUGAACCGUAAAGAUAAAAUUCUUAGAAUAUUCUUACAGUGUCAUACAAAGGGGGCAUCCUUGCUGAAACCUUCUAAUAAAGAGAAUCUCACUUAAUGACAGUAAUUAUGCAAAGCCUGUGCAAACAAUAGGAAGAGUUCUGUAAUUGCUUUCUCUUCCUUGUUAAUCAGUUUGGUAAAUAAGCUGGUAGGUUCCUUGCACAGGUUCAAAUCACUGGUGCAAAAGAAGAAAAAAAUCUGUGUGUAGAGGCCAUAUUGUAAGGUGGGGGAGGGGAGAUGAAAGAACUGUGAUACAUUUAAAAAGUGAUAGGUAAAAGUCUGUUGUACGGCCUGUAUGCGGUGGUGGGGGGUGCCGUUCUAUUAGCUUGCAUUUUGUUUUCCUUUCCUAUGUUCUAGGCACCAGCUGCAAUGUGACUACAUUCUCAUCUACAACCAGUAACAGUGCAUGGACCGCAGCCCCAGAAA